rnacentral:rRNA from 1 species
GAUGAACGCUAGCGGCAGGCUUAAUACGUGCAAGUCGAGGGACAGCACAGGUAGCAAUACUGGGUGGUAACCGGCAAACGGGUGCGGAACACGUACACAACCUUCCUUUAAGUGGGGGAUAGCCCAGAGAAAUUUGGAUUAAUACCCCGUAAUAUAGUUGAAUGGCAUCAUUUGAUUAUUAUAGCUACGGCGCUUAAUGAUGGGUGUGCGGCUGAUUAGAUAGUUGGCGGGGUAACGGCCCACCAAGUCUACGAUCAGUAGCUGAUGUGAGAGCAAGAUCAGCCACACGGGCACUGAGACACGGGCCCGACUCCUACGGGAGGCAGCAGUAAGGAAUAUUGGUGAAUGGACGCAAGUCUGAACCAGCCAUGCCGCGUGAAGGAUUAAGGUCCUCUGGAUUGUAAACUUCUUUUAUUUGGGACGAAAAAGGGCCUUUCUAGGUCAACUGACGGUACCAGAUGAAUAAGCACCGGCUAACUCCGUGCCAGCAGCCGCCGUAAAAC